UGGCAAGAGGUUUUUUAAGGUGUUCACUGCAGGAAGCGAAUUCAGAGCCACAUCCCUGCCUCACCAGCUCAACUGGAUGCUCCUCGGUGCUUCACCUGCCGUCCUGCUGUGCCGGAGAAGAUGGACACUCUGCGAAGGAGCCUUUCCCGCUGGAAGAAGUACCACAUCCAAGUGCACCUGGCUGAUGAGGACGUGCUGAUGCCCCUAACAGUCAGGCCCAGGGACACAGUGAUGGACCUGCGGGCUCACCUGGUGCGGGAGGGCAUCACCUCUUGGAAGAAGACCUUUUACUACAAUUCCAGGCAGCUGGAGGAGCACGAGACUCUCAAGGAGGCCAACGUCCAGAACGGCUCUGUCCUACUUCUCGCCAGCAACCAGAGAUAAUGCUGCAUGAACGGAGCCAAGGCCAUGAGAGAUGGGGGACGCGGCUGAAGCUGAAGGGAAGCAGAUGGAAGAGAGCUUGGCCGCCGAAACGCAGCCCUGCCAGAGGCUCUUGUUGCUGCCUUGCUUCGGAGCAGGAGGACCCCAUUUUGCGCACGGAUGGAUCUUAGCACUUGCGGGGGGAAAAAACCCGACCCAGAAACAUGCAAAGGUGCAGUAUGGAAAGGGGGAAAAUAGCUAAAUAUCAGAAACAGUCCUGCCUUCUCUCUCAUGCAAAAGCAUAAUACAAGUAACAUGAACAAAACAGGCAUCUAAGGAGUUACAGCCAGGUUCGAGGGUUUUUUUCUUCUCUUGGUUUGUUUUUCCACUCAUUUUUAUUGCAUUACCAUUUCCCAUAAAAAGGCUUUCCAACCUGGUUCAAGUGAACCCAUUUUGCCCUCUUGUGCUUGGAGAACUGGGGCCAAAGAGUGGAUACUUCUGCUCUUUUAUUCUGCUUUGCAUUCUCUAGUUGCAUUUCUCCUUCCCCAUUUCAUUUUCAGCUACCGUGUUGGGGGUUAUUGCUAAAUCUUGGGAUCCAACCAGUAAAAGGCUUGCAGAAGCAGCCAAACUCUUUAUUUAAUCUGUGGCUUUUAAGUAAUGGGGAUUUAUGAGUGAGAGUAACUGAUAAAGCAAAGAAGGCUGACUUUUACCAACAUAGGGGUGGGUGGGGGUGCGUUAUGUCUAGAUUGCAUCUUUGUGCAUAUACCUGGCUCAUAAAAUGGGCGUAUUCUCCCCUUCUGCAUCCACUAUAAAGCAGUGUGGGCUCUUCUGCCUGCAGCUGGUUGGUCUGUCCUGAUGCUAUAACAUUCCCGUAACGCACAUCACACCUCAGUGGAGUUUCUCUUUGCUCUUUCUACAUGACAGGUGUAGACGGAGGCUGCCGGGCGCGCUUGCCCCGGCCUGCGUUCCACGCAGCUCUCGUCACGGGACGUGGGUGUUUGCCAGUUGGCACGCCGCGCCACGCGGGGACUUGUCGCUGAGAUCCUAUCGCCGCUGUGACACCCGUGGAUUGCAUGAUCCAGAGCACUGCUGCUGACUGCUAUUGCAUAUGUGUCCCCGCUCACCCUUGUGCAACUCCCCCACCCCAUCUCCUUCUCCACACAGGACAAGCCCGGGCAGGACAGUCCGCCGGAGCAAGCCCAGGCCGAGGCAUGCUGGAGCUGCUGCUCUGCACCUGUCCGAGCUGGAGAUGCAUUGAGAGCAGUGUACAAGGCCAUCAACCCGGCGGCUUGCCUCUGCAUCGCAUUUCCUUUUUAAAGCUAUAUCAGUGUUGCACCCAGAGGGAACGGAGGAACAGAUGCAGCCUGUGGAGUCUGGCUUUAAUUCAUCUGCCUCGUUUAAUUUCCUGCCCUGCCUUUUAAUCAGCGACAUUGCAUCGGAGGCCCUGGGAAUACACCAGCUCCUCAGAUGUGUUUGCUUCCCCGUGCAGCCCCGCGGCUGGGCCAUCAUACCUCAUUCCUAGGAUCCAUCUCAGGCAGGGCGCGCCGUCUGCCCUCCUGGUGCUGCUCCAUGCAGGGUGCCCUCGCCGGGGCUGCCUCGUUCAGCUGCCCAUGCUCCCACGCAGCGCGGCAGUGCCACGUUACCCCGCUCCAGCGUGGCACACUGAUUGCCCCGUCACUGCGCUGGGACUCGGACUCAGCAGGUCUGCCCCGAGUCCCCUCUCGGAGCGGCUGUGCCGAGCUGCCCCAGUCCCAGGGGCUGCGCCAUAAUAUAGUGCUGGGGCUACCUCCAGCAGCCCAGCUGUGCCUCGUUGCCUGGUCAAGGCUCCUGCAUGGCACUACCUCACUGCCUUCCCUUACUCUUUCAUGCGGAGGGGCUGGGCCAAGUUACACCCCGGUGGUGCUCUCAUUCAGCACAGCUGUGCCCCCUUAGCUCACUGGGACUCUCUAUCUGGAGCCCUGCACCAUGCUACCUCCAGAUCAACCGUGCCACGUGCUCUCGCACGUCCUCUUUCACUCAGCGUGGCCGGGCCACGUUCCCUCAUUGGAGCUCUUUGGCUCAGGGGUGCCACGUUCGCGGGAGCAGGGAUGCCGUAGCUCAUUUCUGCCAGGGGGCGAAUACCCACCUCGCCAUUCUCAAUGGGCUGCCAGCAUGCAUCCAAAGCGGCGCUGCCCGGUCAUUCAGUCGACCAGUGCCAAGGCUGGAGGAUUUUGUGAGCCUUGUGCUGUACCCCUUGCAGUGAGAUCUGUAUCAGAUUGCUCUUUACCCGCUACGACGCGCAAAAUGCACAUUGCAUGAUGGAUUUGAAACGACGGGGAGCAAAUAAAAAAAAAAAAAGAAAGAAACUAUUUAUGUAAGUCUUUGCUACAUGGCUACGCUGCUCAUUAUAAAGCAUUAGGCAGAACAGAAA